UACGUAGGGUGCGAGCGUUGUCCGGAAUUACUGGGCGUAAAGAGCUUGUAGGCGGUUCGUCGCGUCGAUUGUGAAAACUUGCAGCUCAACUGCAAGCUUGCAGUCGAUACGGGCGGACUAGAGUACUUCAGGGGAGACUGGAAUUCCUGGUGUAGCGGUGAAAUGCGCAGAUAUCAGGAGGAACACCGGUGGCGAAGGCGGGUCUCUGGGAAGUAACUGACGCUGAGAAGCGAAAGCGUGGGUAGCGAACAGGAUUAGAAACCCUAGUAGUCC
rnacentral:rRNA from 1 species